rnacentral:rRNA from 1 species
UGGGGAAUAUUGCGCAAUGGACGAAAGUCUGACGCAGUCACGCCGCGUGAGUGAUGAAGGUUUUCGAAUCGUAAAGCUCUGUCGGGAGGGACGAAGACACUUCGGUGUUUGACGGUACCUCGCAAGAAAGCACCGGCUAACUCCGUGCCAGCAGCCGCGGUAAUACGGAGGGUGCAAGCGUUGCUCGGAAUCACUGGGCGUAAAGCGGGCGCAGGCGGCCUAUCAAGUCGGGUGUGAAAGCCCGGGGCUCAACCCCGGAACUGCAUCCGAAACUGGUCGGCUUGAGUACGGUAGAGGGAAGCGGAAUUCCAGGUGUAGAGGUGAAAUUCGUAGAUAUCUGGAGGAACACCAGCGGCGAAGGCGGCUUCCUGGUCCGAUACUGACGCUAAUGCCCGAAAGCGUGGGGAGCAAACAGG